rnacentral:rRNA from 1 species
AACAAGGUUUCCGUAGGUGAACCUGCGGAAGGAUCAUUACCGAGUUGAUUCGGGCUCCGGCCCGAUCCUCCCACCCUUUGUGUACCUACCUCUGUUGCUUUGGCGGGCCGCGGUCCUCCGCGGCCGGCCCCCCCUCCCCGGGGGGUGGCCAGCGCCCGCCAGAGGACCAUCAAACUCCAGUCAGUAAACGAUGCAGUCUGAAAAACAUUUAAUAAACUAAAACUUUCAACAACGGAUCUCUUGGUUCUGGCAUCGAUGAAGAACGCAGCGAAAUGCGAUAAGUAAUGUGAAUUGCAGAAUUCAGUGAAUCAUCGAAUCUUUGAACGCACAUUGCGCCCUUUGGUAUUCCGAAGGGCAUGCCUGUUCGAGCGUCAUUACAACCCUCAAGCUCUGCUUGGUAUUGGGCACCGUCCUUUGCGGGCGCGCCUCAAAGACCUCGGCGGUGGCGUCUUGCCUCAAGCGUAGUAGAACAUACAUCUCGCUUCGGAGCGCAGGGCGUCGCCCGCCGGACGAACCUUCUGAACUUUUCUCAAGGUUGACCUCGGAUCAGGUAGGGAUACCCGCUGAACUUAAGCAUAUCAAUAAGCGGAGGA